UCCAACGGAUCUCUCACUAAAAACAAAAAAAAAUACAAAAAGAGGAAGCUAACAAAUAGGUGACUCUCGAUCGACUGCUCUAGCUCUCUCUGAAAAGAAAAAUAAAGAAAAGAGGAUGGUUCCUCUUCUUUCUCAAUACCUCUCUCUCACUUUCUUACUAUCUGAAAAAAAAACAAAAAUAAAAAAGGAUUAAAGAUGAACCACUGUUCAUCUUCCUAACAACAACCCGUAACCACCGCGAAACCCAUCAUGAAACCUCCGUUUCCUCCUUUUCACACCUCCUUCGCUCCGCCGCAUCAACCUUCUUCAAACACACACAUUACCGGCGAACCGACCCCUCUCCGAACACAACAACCAUAACUCCAUAAAUUUUCGUCGCCGCCGCGAAAAACUUCUGCAACAAAAUAUCAACCGCGCAUCACCGACUCCUUCUGCCGUGAUUCACAACCGAUGACUCCUUUUUCUCCACAUCCUCCGUCUACGCGCAUAUCCAACACCUUGCAUCCACUACAAUCCCACACGGCCAAGAUAUCGUACCACCAUCUCCGAACUCAAUCUCCAAGAGAGAUGGAAACAUGGGAGAGAGCUUUGUGGGGAAGAAACUUUUCUUUAAUUUCAUGUUUAGAAGGGUGAUUUGAGUGAAAUAGAGGAUGUUGGUUUCUUAGAUUUUUGUUUCUUUCUCUAAAUUGCCAAGUGAUAAUUUGGAUAUGGCUAAUGUUUUUUUUGAGAAAAGUAAUGCUAGGCCUUAGGGGCGUCGCCCCAAUUGUAUAUAUUAAAUUCUUGCUCAUUUAUUUUAUUUAUCUAUUUAUUUAUUUUACUCA